rnacentral:tRNA from 1 species
UCCUUGUUAGCGCAGAUGGUAAAGAACCUGCUUACCAUGCAGGAGACCCAGGUUUGAUCCCUGGAUCAGGAA